UCAAAUCACCGGUUUCCGUACGAUCACCAAAGUUAAGCAACGUCGAGCCUGGUAAGUACCUAGAUGGGUGACCGCUUGGGAAUACCUGCUAGUGUA